CCAAUAGCGUAUAUUAAAGUUGUUGCAGUUAAAAAGCUCGUAGUUGAAUUUCGGGGUUAGUAGGCUGGUCGUGCCACUGGUAUGUACUGGUCUUACUGACUUCUCCUUUCUGAAGAACUGUAAUGCCAUUAAUUUGGUGUUGCAGGGAAUCAGGACUGUUACUUUGAAAAAAUUAGAGUGUUUAAAGCAGGCUAACGCUUGAAUACAUUAGCAUGGAAUAAUGAAAUAGGACGUUCGAUCCUAUUUUGUUGGUUUCUAGGAUUGACGUAAUGAUUAAUAGGGAUAGUUGGGGGCAUUAGUAUUCAAUUGUCAGAGGUGAAAUUCUUGGAUUUAUUGAAGACUAACUACUGCGAAAGCAUUUGCCAAGGAUGUUUUCAUUAAUCAAGAACGAAAGUUAGGGGAUCGAAGACGAUCAGAUACCGUCGUAGUCUUAACCAUAAACCAUGCCGACUAGGGAUCGGAUGAUGUUAAUUUUUUAAUGACUCAUUCGGCGCCUUACG
rnacentral:rRNA from 1 species